rnacentral:rRNA from 1 species
UACAGAGGGGGCAAGCGUUGUUCGGAAUUACUGGGCGUAAAGGGCGCGUAGGCGGCCUUCUAAGUCGAACGUGAAAUCCCCGGGCUCAACCCGGGAACUGCGUCCGAUACUGGAAGGCUUGAAUCCGGGAGAGGGAUGCGGAAUUCCAGGUGUAGCGGUGAAAUGCGUAGAUAUUAGGAAGAACACCGGUGGCGAAGGCGGCCCACUGGCUCGAUACUGACGCUGAGGUGCGAAAGCGUGGGGAGCAAACAGG